UACGAGGGGGGCAAGCGUUGUUCGGAAUUAUUGGGCGUAAAGGGCGCGUAGGCGGUCUGAUAAGUCUUGUGUGAAAUCUCUGGGCUCAACCCAGAGUCUGCAUAGGAAACUGUCGGGCUUGAGUAUGGGAGAGGUGCGUGGAAUUUCCGGUGUAGCGGUGAAAUGCGUAGAUAUCGGAAGGAACACCUGUGGCGAAAGCGGCGCACUGGACCAAAACUGACGCU
rnacentral:rRNA from 1 species